GCAGUGGUGGUUCACGGUAGAAUUCUCUCCUUCCGUGUGGGAGGCCCAGGUUCAAUUCCUAGCCAAUGCA
rnacentral:tRNA from 1 species